UACGUAGGGUGCGAGCGUUAAUCGGAAUCACUGGGCGUAAAGGGUGCGUAGGCGGGUCUUUAAGUCAGGGGUGAAAUCCUGGAGCUCAACUCCAGAACUGCCUUUGAUACUGAGGAUCUUGAGUUCGGGAGAGGUGAGUGGAACUGCGAGUGUAGAGGUGAAAUUCGUAGAUAUUGGGAAGAACACCGGUGGCGAAGGCGGCUAUCUGGACCGUAACUGACGCUGAGGCGCGAAAGCGUGGGGAGCAAACAGG
rnacentral:rRNA from 1 species